ensembl:lncRNA
GGCUCUGAGCCGCACAGCCAGCCAGAGGGUCUCGUGUGGGCUUCUUCAGCGCUGUUCCCGGGGUCUCCACAAGCCCCCCUGGAAGGAUUGGAGAGAGGGAUGGAGAGGGACAAGCAUGAGGUGGCAGUGAUAACCAUACAGACGAAGCUGCUCUUGACAUGGACUCGCACAAAUGCACAAAAAAUGGGUGAGAGAGAAUAACGCAGGGAUUGGCCGGUCGGUCUGUUCCAUAUUCAGUAGCUCCGGAUGAGGCGGGGGGCCUGCUGGGAAAAUGGUGUCGUAAUCAGGAGCCCACCGCUCUGCCUGAUCAGGUCAAGCUGGUCACUUUUUCAGAGUGGUCAGUGUCCAGUGAGGCAGGUGAAGGGGGCAGCCCUUGUCACUGUGGGAAAGAGAGCAUCAAGAGGAAUUUGCAUGUAUGGCUCAGGUAACAUAGUGGGGGAAGGGUGGAGUGAGGAGACCAAAGCAGACAGAGUAACCCUGACCCUGAGGAAAAAG